rnacentral:lncRNA from 1 species
AGCUGACCCAUGUUCAUCCAUCAUGGGAUCCCUGUAAGGAAAGUACCAGGGGCCCUGCUACAGGACAGAAAGAAUGGGGAGCUGUGCCAGGCCAGAGACUGAGCUGUCCACUGACAGGAGAAGGACUCCAAAGGCAGCACAGCUGAGCUUCAACUCAGUUCCGCUCCCUUUGUUAGGGAGGGAAUGCCUUUGGCCAUGCCAUUAAAAUGGGGAGAAUGUCACUCAGAAGACCAUGCACAAACCAAGCCCAGUGGGAUCUCACUUGAGAGCCAAGACUAACAAUCACCAAGUCAAAAGUCAGC